rnacentral:pre_miRNA from 1 species
AAUAGAAUUGCUGGAUAAAUUUCAUAACUCUGUGUGUUUAACUUUUUGAGGACCUGCCAACUGUUUUCCAAAGUGGAUGUACUAUUUUACACUCCCAUCAGUAAU